ensembl:lncRNA
GUGCCACCUUGGCCAGAGGGGAGAUGCAGAUUAAACAAAUCAGUAGGGCUUUCAAGCAGAGAUCGGUGAGCACGUGAGCAUGCGUGCUUGAGGAGGGGGGGGUAGAAAGAAUCCCAUUUGCCUUGAUUUCUGCUUCCUAAGUGAAAUUAGAACCUGAUCUUGGCCAGGCCCAGGUGGGCUGGCCACUUCUUGCCUCCAGCCCUCAGUUCACGGCUGUGGGUUCUGCUGGGGCUCGUGGGGACACAGGGUGGUGAGUGCUGCAAAAAUGAAGAAAGCCCCAGCGUCUAUCCUGCCCCCUUGGUGAUGCAGAAAUGUCACCCUGGACCAGGUGAUUGAAUUAUAAAUGAUUUUAGUUUACUUUCUGCCUUCCUGUAUAUUCUAAAUUGACACAGUGAACAUAAAUUACAAACAAGAAAGGAAAUGAGCCUUUAUGGUGACCCUGUGCAAAAGUUAUCCCACAGUAAUCACAAAGGCCUUUAUACGUCAACGAGUGAGAUGGAAGAGUCAGAAUCAGAGGAGAAGAUGUGAAUCAGAGGAGAAGACGUGAUAACAGAAGCAUAAGACUGGAGUGACACAAUCACAGGACUGAAAGGCAUAAAAGGGUCAUAGACCAAGGAAUGCAGGGCCUCUAGACAAGAAACGGAUUCUCUCCGCAAACCCCCAGAGGGAGCACAGCCUGCAGACACCCAGAUUUUAGCCCAGCGAGACUGAUUUUGGACUUCUGACCUUUACCACUGUAAGCCACCAGCCCCAGGAAAUGAACACACCACUCAUAAGUACAUGGA